UACUUUUCCUAUUAUUUUUGAGCUAUGGCUGACGGAUCGAGGAAGCGACUCGGGGAGCAUCUUAUGCCAAGACGCUCAGCAGCAGCCCGCUUCUACUAACUACCACACCUGUUAGACUCUGUGCAGUUUUACUGUUUGAGACUUAGCCUGUGCUCGGUUAGUGAGUGUUGUACCAUCUACAAUAAAUUCUUUUAAUCACCGAUCCUGA